rnacentral:rRNA from 1 species
GGACAAUGGGUUGCCAAGCCGCGAGGCGGAGCCAAUCCUAAAAAGCUGGCCUCAGUUCAGAUUGCAGUCUGAAACUCGACUGCAUGAAGUCGGAGUUGCUAGUAAACGCAGGUCAGCUAUACUGCGUUGAAUACGUUCCCGGGGCUU